AUUAAACGCUGCAGGAAUGCUUUACACAGGCAAGUCGAACGGGCAGCACGGGAGCUUGCUCAUGGUGGCGAGUGGCGAACGGGUGAGUAACAUAUCGGAACGUAUGCAAUAAUGGGGGAUAAAUAGUCGAAAGACUUGCUAAUACCGCAUACGCCCCAUGGGGGAAAGCAGGGGAUCGCAAGACCAUGCGUUAAUGGAGCGCCCGAUAUGUGAUUAGCUAGUUGGUGGGGUAAAGGCCCACCAAGGCUUCGAUCAGUAGCUGGUGUGAGAGGACGACCAGCCACACAGGAACUGAGACACGGUCCAGAGUCCUACGGGAGGCAGCAGUGGGGAAUUUUGGACAAUGGGGGCAACCCUGAUCCAGCCAUUCCGCGUGAGUGAAGAAGGCCUUCGGGUUGUAAAGCUCUUUCGGCAGGAACGAAACGGUGGUCCGUAAUAUGGAUUGUUAAUGACGGUACCUGAAGAAGAAGCACCGGCUAACUACGUG
rnacentral:rRNA from 1 species